GACGGAGGAUGCAAGUGUUAUCCGGAAUCACUGGGCGUAAAGCGUCUGUAGGUGGUUUAAAAAGUCCACUGUUAAAGCUUGAAGCUUAACUUCAAAAAUGCCGUAGAAACUUUUAAACUUGAGUAUGGUAGGGGUAGAGGGAAUUUCCAGUGGAGCGGUGAAAUGCGUAGAUCUUGGAAAGACCACCAAUGGCGAAGGCACUCUACUGGGCCAUUACUGACACUAAGAGACGAAAGCUAGGGGAGCAAACAGG
rnacentral:rRNA from 1 species